UACGUAGGGACCAAGCGUUGUUCGGAUUUACUGGGCGUAAAGGGUGCGUAGGUGGCGUGGUAAGUCAGAUGUGAAAGCCCGGGGCUCAACCUCGGAAUUGCAUCCGAUACUGCCGUGCUAGAGUACUGAAGAGGUGACUAGAAUUCUCGGUGUAGCAGUGAAAUGCGUAGAUAUCGAGAGGAAUACCAACGGCGAAGGCAGGUCACUGGGCAGUUACUGACACUGAGGCACGAAGGCCAGGGGAGCAAACGGG
rnacentral:rRNA from 1 species